rnacentral:rRNA from 1 species
GAUGAACGCUGGCGGCGUGCCUAAUACAUGCAAGUCGAGCGGAAAGACGAGGAGUUUGUUGCUGUGUCGGUAGAGGCGGACGGGUGAGUAACGCGUGGCUAGCGUACCUAUAAGACUGGGAUAACUUCGGGAAAUGGGAGCUAAUACCGGAUAAUAUAUUGAACCGCAUGGUGGAAUAGUGAAAGACGGUUUUGCUGUCAGUUAUAGAGGGUUCGGCGCCGCAGUAGCUGGUUGGUAAGGUAACGGCUGACGAAGGCAACGAUGAGUAGCCGACGUCAGGGGGGGAUCGGCGACACUGGAACUGGGACACAGACCAGGCUCCUACGGGAGGCAGCAGUAGCGAAUCGGCAGCAAUGGGCGAAAGCCUGACGGAGCAGCACCGAGGCAGUGAUGAAGAUCACCGGAUCGGAAAACUCUGUUACUAGGGAAGAACAAAUGUCUAAGUAGCUAUACGCGUCUUGACGGUACUGAAUCAGAAAGCCCCGGCUAACUACGUG